rfam:Candidatus Lloydbacteria bacterium RIFCSPHIGHO2_02_FTLL_50_13 rifcsphigho2_02_scaffold_13827, whole genome shotgun sequence.
GCUCGGGUAGCUCAGUUGGUAGAGCGUCCGCCUGAAGAGCGGUAGGUCGCCGGUUCAACCCCGGCCCCGAGCA